rnacentral:snRNA from 1 species
AAAAAACUACUGUUGAGCCU